CUGUUACAACAUGGGUCAAACCCUUUUUUUCGAUCAAUAAAUGUUAAAUUUUGGUUUAGAAAAUUUUUUCUCAUACCAUUAUUUAUAUCAAAAAAACGUUCGAAAUUAUUUUUUUUUAAAUUUUGAAAAUUUGGGGGGCCCCCUUAAACUGGAGGCCCGGGGCAAAUUGCCCCCAGUGCACCCCCCCCCCUCUGAAAGGCCCUGAUAAUUACCAUUUCUAUAUGCAUUCUUUACAGUAUGAGUCCUGUCACUUCAGCUUGGGUAAUACACCCUUCCGGAAAGUACGUCAAUUUGGCUGUAGAACCUCGUAGAAUGUGAAAACGAGGCUCUGUAGCCAAGGUGGUGUACUUUUUGGAAGCGUGUCCGAACCAAGCACGAGAGGGCAUAUACGUUCAGUAUGAUGAAAAUUCGAAGUUGAUGAGUGGACUGGGGACGAGUGUUAAAAAGUGCCCAAAUUAAGAAAUGAA